rnacentral:rRNA from 1 species
AGAUAGCCAUGCAUGUCUGAGUACAAGUUUAAAUAAGAAAGCGAAACCGCGAAUGGCUCAUUAAAUCAGCUGUGAUUUACUUGAUCUAUAUACCCGGUUUUCCUUGGAUAACUGUGGUAAUUCUAGAGCUAAUACAUGCACAUAUAGUCCCUGACCUAACGGUGAGGGCGCUCUUAUUAGUAUCAAAACCGGUAACAGAUUUUUGGUCUGUAAACCAACCUAUGAUGACUCUGGAUAAUUUAAGGCUGAGCACACAGUCUUUGUACUGGUGCUGCUUCUUUCAAGUGUCUGCCUUAUCAGCUGUCGAUUGUAUGUUAUGUGUCUACAAUGGCUGUAACGGGUGACGGGGAAUCAGGGUUCGAUUCCGGAGAGGGAGCCUGAGAAACGGCUACCACAUCCAAGGAAGGCAGCAGGCACGCAAAUUACCCACUCCCGGCACGGGGAGGUAGUGACGAAAAAUAACGAUGCGAGACUCAUCCGAGGCCUCGCAAUCGGAAUGAGUACACUUUAAAUCCUUUAACGAGGAUCGAUUGGAGGGCAAGUCUGGUGCCAGCAGCCGCGGUAAUUCCAGCUCCAAUAGCAUAUAUUAAAGUUGUUGCGGUUAAAAAGCUCGUAGUUGGAUUACCGUUGUGGACUGAUGCUACUUCACCUUAUGGUGUUUAUCAUCACGCUCCAAAACCGCCUACACAACCUAAAAGUUGUUGGGCUCCAUCAGCUCGCAUGGGAUGCUCUUGACCGAGUGUCCUGAGUGGCUGGUAUGUUUACUUUGAAAAAAUUAGAGUGCUCAGAGCAGGCUACUUGUAUUGCCUGAAUGUCUAUGCAUGGAAUAAUGGAAUAGGACCUCGGUUCUAUUUUGUCGGUUUUCUUUGGAAUCCGAGGUAAUGACUAAGAGAGACAAACGGGGGCAUUUGUACUGUGACGCAGAGGGAAAUUCUGGGAGUUUCAUUAAUCAAGAACGAAAGUUAGAGGUUCGAAGGCGAUCAGAUACCGCCCUAGUUCUAACCAUAAACGAUGCUAACCAGCAAUCCGCCGGUGUUAUUCCCAUGACCCGGCGGGCAGCUUCCGGGAAACCAAAGUCUUUGAGUUUCGGGGGAAGUAUGGUUGCAAAGCUGAAACUUAAAGGAAUUGACGGAAGGGCACCACCAGGAGUGGAGCCUGCGGCUUAAUUUGACUCAACACGGGAAACCUCACCAGGCCCAGACACUGGAAGGAUUGACAGAUUGAGAGCUCUUUCUCGAUUCAGUGGGUGGUGGUGCAUGGCCGUUCUUAGUUGGUGGAGUGAUUUGUCUGGUUAAUUCCGAUAACGAACGAGACUCUGGCCUAUUAACUAGUCGACGGAUUUCCAUAUAUUGGUGUCCAGUUCGCAACUUCUUCUUAGAGGGAUAAGCGGUAUGUCCUAGCCGCAUGAGAUUGAGCAAUAACAGGUCUGUGAUGCCCUUAGAUGUUCUGGGCCGCACGCGCGCUACACUGAAGGGAUCAGAGUGUUUUCCCCCUCCGAGAGGAGCGGGUAACCAGAUGAACCCCCUUCGUGAUAGGGAUUGGGGCUUGCAAUUGUUUCCCAUGAACGAGGAAUUCCCAGUAAGCGCAAGUUAUCAGCUUGCGUUGAUUACGUCCCUGCCCUUUGUACACACCGCCCGUCGCUACUACCGAUUGGAUGAUUUAGUGAGGCCUUCGGACUGUCGCUCUUGGAUUUCUAUCAUUCUGGCUUUUAACAGUUGGAUGAGAUGUUCCUAGAGCAGACGGAAAGAUGUCCAAACUUGAUCAUCUAGAGGAAGUAAAAGUCGUAACAAGGUUUCC